rnacentral:rRNA from 1 species
ACGGCCAUACCAUGCUGAAUAUACCGGUUCUCGUUAGAUCACCGAAGUCAAGCAUCAUUGGGCGCUGCCAGUACUUGGGAGGGUGACCACCUGAGAACACCGCGUGCCGUU